rnacentral:tRNA from 1 species
CAAUCUGGGGACAGAGGCUAGUCGAUGCCCUCCGAAGGUAGAGGUCACAAGUUCGAAUCUUGUCGGGUGCGCCA